GGUUGGGUGCUAAUGGUAAAGCACCCAACCGGCAAUUGGGGAAUCUGGGUUCAAGUCCCGGUCCGGACU
rfam:Strigamia maritima strain Brora ctg7180001234069, whole genome shotgun sequence.